GAUGAACGCUAGCGACAGGCCUAACACAUGCAAGUCGAGGGGCAGCGGGGGAGUAGCAAUACUCCUGCCGGCGACCGGCGCACGGGUGAGUAACACGUAUGGAACCUGCCCGUCACAGGGGGAUAAGCGGAAGAAAUUCCGUCUAAUACCGCAUAACGUCUUUCCGGGGCAUCCCGGCGGGACCAAAGGGUAACACCGGUGGCGGAUGGCCAUGCGCCGCAUUAGCUGGUUGGCGGGGUAACGGCCCACCAAGGCGACGAUGCGUAGGGGUUCUGAGAGGAAGGUCCCCCACAUUGGAACUGAGACACGGUCCAA
rnacentral:rRNA from 1 species